rnacentral:rRNA from 1 species
UCUCCUGGAAAACGGGUGGUAAUGCCGGAUGCUCCGGUUGGAUGCAUGUCCUUCCGGGAAAGGUUCCAUCGGUAUGGGAUGGGGUCGCGUCCUAUCAGCUUGAUGGCGGGGUAACGGCCCACCAUGGCCUCGACGGGUAGCCGGCCUGAGAGGGCGACCGGCCACAUUGGGACUGAGAUACGGCCCAGACUCCUACGGGAGGCAGCAGUGGGGAAUAUUGCACAAUGGGCGCAAGCCUGAUGCAGCGACGCCGCGUGCGGGAUGGAGGCCUUCGGGUUGUAAACCGCUUUUGAUCGGGAGCAAGCCCUUCGGGGUGAGUGUACCUUUCGAAUAAGCACCGGCUAACUACGUGCCAGCAGCCGCGGUAAUACGUAGGGUGCAAGCGUUAUCCGGAAUUAUUGGGCGUAAAGGGCUCGUAGGCGGUUCGUCGCGUCCGGUGUGAAAGCCCAUCGCUUAACGGUGGGUCUGCGCCGGGUACGGGCGGGCUGGAGUGCGGUAGGGGAGACUGGAAUUCCCGGUGUAACGGUGGAAUGUGUAGAUAUCGGAAAGAACACCA